rnacentral:lncRNA from 1 species
CUACUUUCCAAGUGAUUCAGCCACUGAAUGGUGACCCUUUCAUUGGAAGUCUUGAAACUCCAGUCACCUCAAGCCCAUUGAUUGCAUGGUACCUAUCCAACUUGCCUGCCUACCGGACCGCGGUGAACCCGCUUCUCCGGGGAGUAGAAGUGGGCCUGGCCCAUGGAUUCUUACUAGUUGGGCCUUUUGUAAAAGCUGGUCCAUUAAGAAACACAGCUUAUGCAGGUAAAGUCCAAUUUAUAGUUACCUACAGAACUGUUAACUAACAAGGAAGGGGAGUAUGAAAGAGAAUUCAAUUGAACCUCAUUUGUCGAAAAAUUACACUAUGGUCCAAUUUUUUUUGUACAUAUAAUAGAUGAUGAACCCGGCGUAUUGUAUGCAGGGGGAGCUGGUUCAUUGGCAGCAGCAGGACUUGUGGUGAUCCUUAGCAUGUGUUUGACAAUUUAUGGAAUUUCAUCAUUCAAAGAAGGAGAUCCAUCAACAGCACCAGCAUUGACAUUGACUGGCAGGAAAAAAGUACCAGAUCAAUUGCAAACUGCAGAUGGAUGGGCUAAAUUCACUGGUGGAUUCUUUUUUGGUGGAAUUUCUGGUGUCACUUGGGCUUAUUUCCUCCUAUAUGUCCUUGAUCUUCCUUACUUUGUUAAGUAAAUUUCAUUAAUUGAUGCAACUAUUAUGAAUCAAAGUUGUAUAUCGAACCGCUUGAUCUCUUGGGGGAAUGUAAUGAAUUUUUACUAGCAUAUCCGCACAUUUUGUUCUUGAUUCUAAUUCUGGCCUCAGGCUCUAGUUUAGUGGUAAUCGCGCAAUGCAUAAUGUGUAAUGUGUUAGGUGGCUAAUCUUGGUUAUAUAAAAAAGAAGUGAUAUCUAGCACUCAAGGGCUGAAGGGCGUGGUUUAAUGGUCUAUGAAGUGGUUGAGAGUCAUGAGGUCUCACGUUCAAAUCUCCGAUGAUUCUUUUCAUCUAUGUGAAAGUUGGUCCAGACAUCACGGUUAUCAAAAAAGAAGAAGAAGUUGGUUUCUCAAAAUCAACCAGUUCAAGUUGGAUUGUUUAGUCUAAAGACUAAAUGGAUAGCUGUUCACGAAAUACAAAUUUGGCUUGAAAGUGGUUUAUAUGCUUGUCAAAAAUGGAACCAAAUAUAAGAUACAUGUCUUACAUAUAAAUUGUUUUAAUUUAAUCAACCAUAAAUGGUCACCUUCGAACUAUUGGAAAUGAAAUAUCAUCCAUUUGGUUUUUGGUUCAAAAAUGCCUCAAAACUAUUUGAAACAUAACAAAAUGCGUCUGCCAUUAGCAAACUGUUUCAACUAUGCUCCUCACCCGUUUAGGGAAAGGUGUGGGAACCAAGGCGUGAUUCUCACACGUCAUUCAAUAAAAAAAGUUAAUAAGGCGUGUGAGGGGUCACGCCUUUACCCUUUUGGUCUGUUUCGAUUUUGUUAAAUUAUUGAUGAAAAAAGUUGUCAUUUAGACUCUGAACUCUAUUAAAUUGCUGAAGAAACAAUCGUAUUGAUUCUCAUGUUAACAAAAAUUAUUCGACUAUAAGCUGAUUCGCGCAACUCAACUAUUAAGCAUACCAAAAUUACUUAAUCCCUUUCCAAUUUAAUUUGUGUUCUUAUAAUGUAAAAUUAUUAAGUCAAUUUGGUGUAAAUAGGGACUUUUCUGUUUUCAAGAACAGCCACUACUGCUACUUUUUGGGUGCCUUGCAAAUCACAAAAAAAAAAAACGUAACCUGCACUAAACAGGCCUGAUGUGGCAAACUUGACCUAGAAAACAAACUCCUUGCUUUCGCUGGGAAGGGGUUUUAAACUUGAGACUCCUAUCUGAAAGUCUCAUGCCCAAACCACUGGGCCACCGUCGUGAAGGAUGUAAACAGGACUUUCUUUCCCUGUUUUCUUUAUACAAAAAUCAAGUAAGCUAUGAAUGAUCCAUUCUUGACCAAUGCAGUUUGGAUAAGAGAUAAUGUUUUAAAACUAACCAAUAAGAAGCUCCCACGUAAGAGUUUGAUCCACCCUAAGAACCACCAAAAUCUGUAAACCCAAAAGAUUUUCUUUGCCAGUCAUUAACAGGAUUUGUCUGCAUCUUUUGUUAUAUUCUGAUCGAACAAACAGCAGUACUGCCAAACAAUACUUUUCCAAAAUGGCUACUGCAGCAUCCACAAUGGCUAGCCAGUUGAAGAGCAGCUUUGCUUCGUCUUUAACCAAAGGCCUCGGCCUUGUCACUCCCAAAGGCAUUACUGGUGCACCUUUAAAGAUUUUCCCUUCAACAAGAAAGUCUUGCUUCACCGUCAAGGCUGUCCAAGCUGAUAAAGUAAUCAUCACUCUUCUUAUUAUCAUGUUCUUGAAUUUGAUUACUUUUUUUGGAGAUAAUUAUGAUGUUUAGAUCAAUUUGUACUGCCUCAACAGGGGGUCAAAUCGGUAGAUUUUAUAUUUGUGUUAAAAACAUUCACUUAAUAUGUUCAAUAAUUUAUUCAGAACUCAUAAAUUUAAAAUUUCUGAUCUAUUGAGUAAUUCUGUCCACUAAGGGUUGACAAAUGAGAAAAAAUCACCUAUAGUUUGGAUUUCUGUUUUUUUUAUUUAGAUAAAUUGUGGAGCUAAAAGUUCUAAAGAGAAAUCUUGAAAGAUAAUAAAGUGUCACACUUGGAUUUCAAUCUCGCAAUGUAAAUUCAAGUUUCGAGAGUAUGCGUGAAUCUAAUUGGGGGCGUAGAGUUUCUAAGUGAAGGCAAGCACAACUAUACAUGGAACUAACUUUUUUUAAUCACCUUUUGCCAUUAUAUAAAAAGUUUCUCUUGUGUUGAGGAAAUUCAGUAAUUUAAUUCUUUGGGUAGUGACAGAAAGAUCAAUGAAUCUGAAAAUCAAUACUCAAAUGUCAUACCUAAAGCUUAUCUUAUAAGAAAAAAAAAUUCUUACAAAUUUUGGUUUGUUUUGUGUUGUUUUUCUUGAUUCUGCAGCCUACUUUCCAAGUGGUUCAGCCCCUUAAUGGUGACCCUUUCAUUGGAAGUCUUGAAACUCCAGUCACCUCAAGUCCAUUGAUUGCAUGGUAUCUCUCCAACUUGCCUGCCUAUCGGACCGCGGUGAACCCACUUCUCCGGGGAGUAGAAGUGGGCCUGGCCCAUGGAUUCUUACUAGUUGGCCCAUUCGUUAAGGCUGGUCCGUUAAGAAACACAGCCUAUGCAGGUAAAAUCCGACUAUAGAAUUUUAACUUGAUGAGUUUAAUCUUUAUAACUCGCGGUUGAUUCACACUGUAGAUGUCCCUAGUUUUUUAGAGUUUUGCCAAUAGAUAACAGUCAUCUAACAUCUACAAAAUUUGGUCUAACAAGGUCAUUUACAAAACAGUUCUGCAACUCAACUUAUUGUACUGUUUAUGCAUACACGAUAUAUAUCUAAUUUGUGUGUCGAAAAU